rnacentral:rRNA from 1 species
GGAUCAGUGGCGAACGGGUGAGUAACACGUGAGUAACCUGCCCUCCACUCUGGGAUAAGCGCUGGAAACGGCGUCUAAUACUGGAUACGACCGACCCUCGCAUGGGGUGUUGGUGGAAAGAUUUAUCGGUGGUGGAUGGACUCGCGGCCUAUCAGCUUGUUGGUGGGGUAAUGGCCUACCAAGGCGACGACGGGUAGCCGGCCUGAGAGGGCGACCGGCCACACUGGGACUGAGACACGGCCCAGACUCC